rnacentral:rRNA from 1 species
UCUCCGCCAGAGAACUACAAGUGAAAAACUUGAAACUCAAAGGACUUGACGGUGUCCCAUAUCGACCUAGAGGAGCCUGUCCUAUAAUCGAUACUCCACGUUUCACCCAACCUUAACUAGCAAAAUAUCAGCCUAUAUACCGCCGUCGACAGCCUACCCUAUGAAGGUCUAACAGUAGACUCAAUAGCAUCACCGCUAGUACGUCAGGUCAAGGUGUAGCAAAUGUUAAGGUAGAGAUUGGCUACAUUUUUUAUAAUAAAAAACACGAAAAGUAUUAUGAAACUGUACAUGAAGGUGAAUUUAGUAGUAAAACAGAUAAGAGUGUCUAUUUUAACAACGCUCUGGGACGCGUACACACCGCCC